rnacentral:rRNA from 1 species
CUCUCGGAGUGACGGGUACACUGUGGGGACCGCCGCUGCUAAAGCGGAGGAAGGAAUGGGCAACGGUAGGUCAGUAUGCCCCGAAUAUCCCGGGCUACACGCGAGCUACAAUGGUUGGUACAAUGGGUAUCUACCCCGAAAGGGGACGGGAAUCUCCUAAAACCAAUCUUAGUUCGGAUUGAGGGCUGCAACUCGCCCUCAUGAAGGCUGGAAUCCGUAGUAAUCGCGUUUCAACAGAACGCGGUGAAUACGUCCCUGCUCCUU